rnacentral:pre_miRNA from 13 species
ACUCGGAUGGAUAUAAUACAACCUGCUAAGUGUCCUAGCACUUAGCAGGUUGUAUUAUCAUUGUCCGUGUC